rnacentral:rRNA from 1 species
UACGGAAGGCAGCAGUGGGGAAUCUUGCGCAAUGGGCGAAAGCCUGACGCAGCCAUGCCGCGUGAAUGAUGAAGGUCUUAGGAUUGUAAAAUUCUUUCACCGGGGACGAUAAUGACGGUACCCGGAGAAGAAGCCCCGGCUAACUUCGUGCCAGCAGCCGCGGUAAUACGAAGGGGCUAGCGUUGCUCGGAAUUACUGGGCGUAAAGGGAGCGUAGGCGGACAUUUAAGUCAGGGGUGAAAUCCCGGGGCUCAACCUCGGAAUUGCCUUUGAUACUGGGUGUCUUGAGUAUGAGAGAGGUGUGUGGAACUCCGAGUGUAGAGGUGAAAUUCGUAGAUAUUCGGAAAGAACACCAGUGGCGAAGGCGACACACUGGCUCAUUACUGACGCUGAGGCUCGAAAGCGUGGGGAGCAAACAGGGAUUAGAUACC